CUACGGGCCGCACCAGUGGGGAAUAUUGCACAAUGGGGGAAACCCUGAUGCAGCAACGCCGCGUGGAGGAUGACGCAUUUCGGUGUGUAAACUCCUUUUAUAUAGGAAGAUAAUGACGGUACUAUAUGAAUAAGCACCGGCUAACUCCGUGCCAGCAGCCGCGGUAAUACGGAGGGUGCAAGCGUUACUCGGAAUCACUGGGCGUAAAGCGCGCGCAGGCGGCCUUUUAAGUUGGAUGUGAAAGCCUAUGGCUUAACCAUAGAACUGCAUCCAAAACUAUCAGGCUAGAGUCUGGGAGGGGAAGAUGGAAUUAGUUGUGUAGGGGUAAAAUCCGUAGAGAUAACUAGGAAUACCAAAAGCGAAGGCGAUCUUCUGGAACAGUACUGACGCUGAGGCGCGAAAGCGGGGGGAGCAAACAGGAUUAGAUACCCCCGUAGUC
rnacentral:rRNA from 1 species